rnacentral:rRNA from 1 species
UUUAUGGAGAGUUUGAUCCUGGCUCAGGAUGAACGCUGGCGGCGUGCCUAAUACAUGCAAGUCGAGCGAACGGACGAGAAGCUUGCUUCUCUGAUGUUAGCGGCGGACGGGUGAGUAACACGUGGAUAACCUACCUAUAAGACUGGGAUAACUUCGGGAAACCGGAGCUAAUACCGGAUAAUAUUAUGAACCGCAUGGUUCAAAAGUGAAAGACGGUCUUGCUGUCACUUAUAGAUGGAUCCGCGCUGCAUUAGCUAGUUGGUAAGGUAACGGCUUACCAAGGCAACGAUGCAUAGCCGACCUGAGAGGGUGAUCGGCCACACUGGAACUGAGACACGGUCCAGACUCCUACGGGAGGCAGCAGUAGGGAAUCUUCCGCAAUGGGCGAAAGCCUGACGGAGCAACGCCGCGUGAGUGAUGAAGGUCUUCGGAUCGUAAAACUCUGUUAUUAGGGAAGAACAUAUGUGUAAGUAACUGUGCACAUCUUGACGGUACCUAAUCAGAAAGCCACGGCUAACUACGUGCCAGCAGCCGCGGUAAUACGUAGGUGGCAAGCGUUAUCCGGAAUUAUUGGGCGUAAAGCGCGCGUAGGCGGUUUUUUAAGUCUGAUGUGAAAGCCCACGGCUCAACCGUGGAGGGUCAUUGGAAACUGGAAAACUUGAGUGCAGAAGAGGAAAGUGGAAUUCCAUGUGUAGCGGUGAAAUGCGCAGAGAUAUGGAGGAACACCAGUGGCGAAGGCGACUUUCUGGUCUGUAACUGACGCUGAUGUGCGAAAGCGUGGGGAUCAAACAGGAUUAGAUACCCUGGUAGUCCACGCCGUAAACGAUGAGUGCUAAGUGUUAGGGGGUUUCCGCCCCUUAGUGCUGCAGCUAACGCAUUAAGCACUCCGCCUGGGGAGUACGACCGCAAGGUUGAAACUCAAAGGAAUUGACGGGGACCCGCACAAGCGGUGGAGCAUGUGGUUUAAUUCGAAGCAACGCGAAGA